rnacentral:lncRNA from 1 species
GGAGUACUGAUAUUUUGCCUGCAUAUAUGCCUGAGUACCACAUCUGUGAGUUAGACAGUUGCGAGACACCAUGUAUAUGCUGAGAACUGAACCUGGGUCCUCCAGAAGGGAUAGUCAGUACUCUGAGCACGGCUUUCUCGACAGAUUCUGAACAACAGUUUUCAACUUAGAGCUUUGAAGAUGAUAGAAGUCCAGAAUAUUCAAAGCUAAUCUGUAUAUUAGAAUGAGCAAUAGGAAGAUCUGUGUCUGGUGGGCAAAAAGGCCCAAAGAAAAUUAAAGAAUACACCAUGCAGAGCUGCUGGUAGGUAACCACGGGGCAUAUAGAAAACCAUCAGGUUUUUAUGGAGCAAAACAAUGAACUUGACAAAAGGAACUUGGAAAAUUUAGUAAUCAUAGGAUAAAUGGGAAAUCUGUCAAAUAAAAAGGUUCAUGGAAGC